rnacentral:lncRNA from 1 species
AACAAAAUAGAUUACAAUAAAUGGCAUUGCACCGCGAAGCUUAGCUUUUUGUUCAUACAGAAACAGUCAAGAUAUGAUCUUGAUGAUGGCGAUUGUUUCUUACAUUAAACGAAGGCUGCAACUUCUGCUCGUAAAUACCUAUAAUCUGGCAUCGCUUACAGCAUAUACAUCGAAGGAAUAAAACAAAGAACUUUUCAUAGGAUAUUAAAUGAAAAUAAGACCUCGAACAUCUGAUUAUGG